GCAGAUAAAGCGUCAUUGUCUGCCCGAAAAAAUCCUGGCAUCAAUUAUACAGAACAAAUCUUCGGCGGGAGAGAAAAUGCAGGAAGGGCAGAAAAUGCGAACACAGAAAAGCACUGGAGGAAAUGCAUCAUUAGAACUCAGAUUCACAGGAACACUUAAUGUCCUCCGAUACGCAGAACCUCUGUGAUCCCGACAAGCAGCGGGUAUGGUGAGCCUGGU